rnacentral:rRNA from 1 species
UUACCUUCGGGUAUUGAGGAUGGCGGACGGGUGAGUAACGCGUAAGGAACUUGCCUCUUGGUCUGGGACAACUGUUGGAAACGACAGCUAAUACCGGAUAUUAUGAGAUUCUCGCAUGGGAAACUUAUGAAAGCUAUAUGCGCCAAGAGAGAGCCUUGCGUUCCAUUAGCUAGUUGGUGGGGUAACGGCCCACCAAGGCGACGAUGGAUAGCCGGCCUGAGAGGGUGAACGGCCACAAGGGGACUGAGACACGGCCCUUACUCCUACGGGAGGCAGCAGUGGGGAAUAUUGGACAAUGGGCCACAAGCCUGAUCCAGCAAUUCUGUGUGCACGAUGAAGGUCUUCGGAUUGUAAAGUGCUUUCAGUUGGGAAGAAGAAAGUGACGGUACCAACAGAAGAAGCGACGGCUAAAUACGUGCCAGCAGCCGCGGUAAUACGUAUGUCGCAAGCGUUAUCCGGAUUUAUUGGGCGUAAAGCGCGUCUAGGCGGAAAAAUAAGUCUGAUGUUAAAAUGCGGGGCUCAACUCCGUAUUGCGUUGGAAACUGUUUUUCUAGAGUACUGGAGAGGUGGGCGGAACUACAAGUGUAGAGGUGAAAUUCGUAGAUAUUUGUAGGAAUGCCGAUGGAGAAGUCAGCUCACUGGACAGAUACUGACGCUAAAGCGCGAAAGCGUG